rnacentral:rRNA from 1 species
UAAUCCUUUAAUAGCCGGUAUCAAUUCGGAUUGGGGUCUGCAACUCGACCCCAUGAAGUCGGAGUCGCUAGUAAUCGCACAUCAGCAACGAUGCGGUGAAUACGUUCCCGGACCUUGUACACACCGCCCGUCAAGUCACGAAAGUUGGUAACACCCAAAGCCGGUGGCCUAACCUGUUGGAGGGAGCCGUCUAAGGUGGGAUUGGCGAUGGGGACUAAGUCGUAACAAGGUAACCAAUCGAAUUCCCGCGGCC